rnacentral:rRNA from 1 species
GACGAACGCUGGCGGCGUGCCUAAUACAUGCAAGUUGAGCGCUGAAGGUUGGUCCUUGUACCAACUGGAUGAGCAGCGAACGGGUGAGUAACGCGUGGGUAAUCUGCCUUUGAGCGGGGGACAACAUUUGGAAACGAAUGCUAAUACCGCAUAAAAACUUUAAACACAAGUUUUAAGUUUGAAAGAUGCAAUUGCAUCACUCAAAGAUGAUCCCGCGUUGUAUUAGCUAGUUGGUGAGGUAAAGGCUCACCAAGGCGAUGAUACAUAGCCGACCUGAGAGGGGGAUCGGCCACAUUGGGACUGAGACACGGCCCAAACGCCUACGGGAGGCAGCAGUAGGGAAUCUUCGGCAAUGGACGAAAGUCUGACCGAGCAACGCCGCGGGAGUGAAGAAGGUUGUCGGAUCGUAAAACUCUGUUGGUAGAGAAGAACGUUGGUGAGAGUGGAAAGCUCAUCAAGUGACGGUAACUACCCAGAAAGGGACGGCUAACUACGUG